rnacentral:rRNA from 1 species
UACAGAGGUCCCAAGCGUUGUUCGGAUUCAUUGGGCGUAAAGGGUGCGUAGGCGGCGCGGUAAGUCGGGUGUGAAAUCUCGGAGCUUAACUCCGAAACUGCAUUCGAUACUGCCGUGCUUGAGGACUGGAGAGGAGACUGGAAUUUACGGUGUAGCGGUGAAAUGCGUAGAUAUCGUAAGGAAGACCAGUGGCGAAGGCGGGGUCUCUGGACAGUUCCUGACGUGAGGCACGAAGGCCAGGGGAGCAAACGGGG